rnacentral:lncRNA from 1 species
UUUCUGGGCCUGGUCUCUAAAACAGGGUCUCACCAUGUAGUCCAGACUUGGCCUCAAACUCACAGUCCUCCUGACUCAGCCUUCCGAAUGCCUGGAUGAUAGGAUGCACCAUCAUGCCCAGCAGAAAUUUCUUACACCUGGCAUAAACAGCUCUCAAGAUCCCAGUUGGUGGUACAAGAAGGAGACUGACUAGAAACAGCAAGUGCAACUCUCCCCUGCAGAAGUCAUCUCCAGUCCUGGCCUCCAAGAUGCCCAGAUAAAGUCCUGAGACCAGAGCAGCUUGAAGAAGAAAAGCAUUGCCCAACCCAGGAGAAAACAUGGUACCAUGAAGUGAACUGGAAGGAACAAGCAGCAAACAACAUGAGCAGUUCCUCAAGGAUAUCAAAUAUUGACAUUAUUACUUGCCAAAAACAAAUGCUAUGUGCUUAAUGAAAUAAAAUAAUUUGGAGGCCUUAGCAAAGACCAAGAGACUAUAAAGAACAUCUAAGGAGAUCUGAAAUAAAACCAACAAGUACUUCAGGGCAUGAAAAUAAGACAGAGAGGAAUUCGAGCCCUUGAAAGUUAAUCAGAGAGUGAUGGAAAGGCCUGAUACCAGUAUGUCACUCCCCACUUCAGUGUGCAGACCUCAAACUUACCCAGUGUCCCUUCUCUGAAGCCCUUCAGCCGAAAAAUAGAAAUGCCUCUGAUUUAACAGAAAUCUGGAAGAGUUCACAGUCUGG